AAUUACUAUCAAUCAAUCAAUCAAUCAAUCAAAUCUUUAUUGUAGUGCCCAGGAACAGCUGCAUAGCCUUUGUACUGAUGCACAUAAAUAUUUAAGGAAGGUAUAA
rnacentral:lncRNA from 1 species